GUAGUGGAGGAGGAAGCAGCGUGAGGAGAGGAGCAGCACUAACAGCCAGUCACACGAGGAGCAGUGGCUCAGAUAACUGAGGUGAUCGGGGCUCAUCACUUUGGGGACUACCCAAUAGUGCCUGUGGUGGCUGGGACAAGACUGCAGAGAUGCGCCGCCUUGGUGGGGAAGAUGGAUCCGCUGAUUCCAAAUCCACCCGGCGCGUCUUACUUGGCCUCCUGGAAUAUGUGACUACAGUGAAUUCUUACCUGCAAUCCCAGCACCCACAUCAGUUGGCAGUGGCCUGUCUGGAGCGCUGGUCUGGCGUACUGUUGAAAAAUUUAAACAAACAUUAUGACCAUACUUGGAAAACACAUUGUUAACUGCAAAACCUUAGUGUACUGUAACCAUUUUGUACGUAAUGUAAAGUAAACUAAUUUCUGCUUAAA